ACUUCGGAAAAGCAGCAGCAGCAGCAGCGGCUGUGGCUGCGAUGUAUAGCAAUGUGGUGUUGUUCAUUCUGUGUUCAGAGAUCGCUUCAGAAAAAAUCCAUAUUCGCUGUUGUAUAUUUUGAAAAUGGAUUUUACAUUUAACGCAAAUUGCUUAGGCAAUAAAUUGAUCAUUUAAUUUUUCGUUUCUAAGUGGGCCACAGCACGCGCGAUUUUGGAAGGAAGGAAAAAGCAGUAAUCGAAAAACAAAUGGCCAUCCAUUUCAUCUAGUAGUGUGAAGCCUUCUUUCCGAUUCCGAAUAAUCUGACAGUCAAAAUGCACUUUGGCACGCAAAAUUCACAUUUGAAGUGGAGUGAGUGAGUGAGUGAGUGGCAUGACGUCAAGCUUCGUUGUUGAAAACGUGACACUAUUUUAAACUCGCAAUCAUAUUCUCAACGCGAUCAUCUGGGAUGAAUGAAACAAAAACCGAAAGAAAAAACUAUUUCCGAUUGCAGAUGUUUUCGCUGUUCGGCGUUCAACAUAUAGAAACCUGUUCCAAGUACUUAAAUGAUCAUAACGUUGUUGUUGUCUUUUUUUUAAAUCAUCCUGUUCACAGAUUUAGAAGCAUCAUCUAGUGUCACACAAAAUGAACAAACAUGUAAAUUGCUACCGAAGCAAGGUCAUUACGAGAUUAAUAUUUACUUAAAAAUUGCCCAAUACGAACAACACACUCACACACAAUGUCUCCCGAUUUAAAAAUAACAAGAGAAUAUCCAUAUCAAUAGAGAUUCAUCACAGUGAACAAACAGAGGAGAAAGAAAAUGAUAGAAAGAAUCAACAGUCAACGAAGGAAGAAAAAGAAAAAGAAAACAAAACAAAAUCAAGUUGAAAUUUUCAAGUUGAAACACGCAUUAUAUCAUAUGAUAUGAUUAGCAGAGAUCUAAAAUUUUGACACAUUUAAUUUUUUUUUUCUACGCGCGAUUCGAUUAUCCAAAAGAUCAACACAAUUGAUCGAUUUUCAUGUAAGAAGAAAUUAAAAAUCUUAAACCAAGUGGUUUUUGUUUGAGUGUUCGUGCAACGGGGACGACGCACGGUUGCUCUCUAUUUGUGUUUCAUUCACACUGUAAACAUGGAUUUGUGCUAAAUAUAGCGCGCGGCUCGAUUUGAUUGUGUUUCAUUUGAUAUCAAAGAAGUUAUAUGGCCAAUUUGGAGACAAUAUGUGUGUAUAAUUUUUUGUUGUAAAUUAACACAAAAAUACACAUACUCAGUGUCUUUCGCGUUUUGUUCCCAUAAUUUCAUCUCUCGGGAACUCCUUCCAACUGGUUGGGUGUGUGUGUGUGGACUUUGUUCUAUAUAAAUGAAUGCAAAUGAACAGAGAGGUAAAGUAACGCGCGCAUACACAAAGGAACAAUCAAAGUAUGACCGAGUGUUGUUAAGCUAGAGAGCACUUGAGUUUAGUGCAACGAACUAUAACUUGUGAAUCGAUCACACUGUCAUGCGUUAAAUCUCCGAAUGCGUUACGAUACGAUGAUUUUUGCACAUUCGGCCGGUUCAUUUUUUCCGAAAAAUUUCGACUGCGCGUGGCUUUCAAAAAUAUACAUAUUCAAAUGAGCGACGAACGAAAGGAUGGUUGACGUGACAAACAAAAACAAUACGCAGUAGAAAAAAAAAGCGGUGACGGGCUGUGUUUUUGUUCUGUUCGCUGCAAAAUUAAAAGCGCAACAAUGGGAAACAAAAAGAAACGAUAUCUCUACAUUCAUUUUUAUCACUUGACAAUUAUCAGGCAUAGACAUUCAUUUUUUGCUUCUUAGUCUCUAUGAACCACCGUAUAAAUAUGCCGAAUGAGAUAAAUAAAGCGCCAACUGAGGACUACUUGCAGAAACAGAGAAUCAUGCACAUAGUGAUCUAUAACGAGUGCGCGUUUGUGUUAACAGUGGAAGUAUGGCACAUUGCACUCCCAGUCCCCAGCCCCACAAGAAUGCUUUGUGAUUUGAAGAGCUGAAUACACAUGCCAGAUUCGGAAAAUCUAUGGGUUUCACAUAUCGUCAAAAUGUUGACCUUGAGCAAAUUAGCUAUGCUUUUCUUUUUCACAAGACGUUUGGUGCAACUGAUUCAAGAGCCUUCCGACCUUUUCUUAUCAUAAGCCGCUUAAACAGCUCCGAUUCAAACAAAAUUUCAGUACAGCACAAAUCAACAGCAGUAACGAGAAAAGUAACGACCGCGCC